rnacentral:rRNA from 1 species
ACGCUCGACACCUAUGGGAGGCAGCAGUGGGGAAUAUUGCACAAUGGGGGAAACCCUGAUGCAGCGACGCCGCGUGAGUGAAGAAGUAUUUCGGUAUGUAAAGCUCUAUCAGCAGGGAAGAAGAUGACGGUACCUGAGUAAGAAGCCCCGGCUAACUACGUGCCCGCAGCCGCGGUAAUCUGAGCGGGCUGGCAAGGC